GUCCUGCAGGAAACUAACACUCUGGGUAGAGUUGAAACGUCUUCCCCCCGCUACAGAAUUACCAUCUAACACAAGGCCACUUCUCAAGAUGAAGGAGGGAUUGAACUGUCACACCAGCGUGAUCAAUUAGAUGAUGGAGGAAAGAAGUAUUUGCUACCUGACUUUAAUCUACUCGGCAAGAAUGACUGAAUGGGGAUGGCAGAAUACGAAUCCAUUUGGCUGUUUCUAUUUGUGGAGUCAAUUGUGAGACAUCCAUUUAUCAUAGCUGUGGAAAACUAGCAGAAGGUCCAGAGAAAAGCCAUGGAAACGAUGAAGAACCAGGAAAAUGGAUUUCAGCUAUGUAUCCAGGAGAAGUAAGAUUCAACUUGACAGAGUCUAAGUCUUCAAGCGACGGUGACAAGGCACUUGUAGCAGACCUCUCUCCCACCUCCUUCAGAUUUCUCCUCUGGAUGGAUAUUCCUCCCCCCACGCUGACCCCAUUUGUUGUGUCUCUGACUUGAGUGAAAGCAGCAUGUGUAGUACCAACAAUGUCCAUCAUUCAACAGAAGUAAUGACAAGAUGAACGUCUGUGACCAAGUUAAUGCUUGCCUGCCAAUGACAGCUACUUCGUGGCUACUGCAUGGAUGAUGGGGAUAAUAAGAUGCCAGCUAUUAUAAAACAUAUUCCAAUUUCAAAGAUGUUAA